UGAUCAGAUCUCCUCUUGAUAGUUCAUUCUUUAUCAGUUCUUUUUCAUACGUGGUGGUUUUUUUUUCAUCGUUAUUCUGUGCCUGAUGUCGAAGUUCCUUUUUUUCUAGGGAAAUAUAAAUCAUGUCCAAACUCCAAAGGACAUAUAUUUUGAUCAGUUUAUAGGAUCAAUCUCUAGAUGUGUGCUGUAGGAUCUUUUGGUGGCCUGAUGGUUUCAUUUUUAUCUGAAUAUCACAACUUUGAACUCAUAGUGAAUGCAAUAAGUUUGGUUGAGUUUGAUUACUUUGUAGGUCAUUCAGGUAGUAGAUAGUAUAGGCAAAAGAAAUUCUAUGGAGAAGGAAGUGCUCUGGAUUUAAGAGCUUUCACCUGCUGCAUUAUAAGGCUAACCUGCAACGCAUGCACUUUUUUUGUGGAUGAAUUUUGAAAUUCAGGUUCAAUGGAGAGCUUAAAUUUAGUUGUUUAGUGAUAUCAGUCCUUACCGUCAAAGGUAAAUUGACUACUCUUGUACUUGUUUGCUUUGACUAAAGAUUAGGUUGAGUUUAGCUCGAACUAAAUUGUAAAUUGUAGAAGCUCUGUCCAUCUACGACCAAAUGAAAGUGAUGUGGAUCUUAGGUUAACCUGUGACCAAAUUGUCAAAGCUGAGUUCCACCAACCUCUUUAAUGUAUUAGUUAGCUGGAAAACAUGGUUCAUUAUGCUAGAUGGUGACUGGCCAACUGUGUUAGAGACAAUGGACUUGAACAAUGAUGACAUGGCUGACUUGUACUGCUAUCGAUUAAAGCUGUUUGUUCAGAGUUGGAGUGAAAAGUGCGGUCAUAUGGAAAAAUUAGAUACCAUCUAUUUGAAUGCCAUUGACUGCUGUUGUUCCUGAUACCGGGAAAUAUUUUGCACUUUACCUUGAUUGCUUUUGUAGCUUUGUUGGGAUGUGGACGGGGUCAUUCAAAUGAAGAAGAGCUUAUUAUUUGUUGGAUAUCAUUGGAAAUUGCUGUAUAUAUUUCAAAGCUGUUUGCAAUACCUUGAGCAGUCUGAUAUGAAUUUUUGUAUGUUUGUAGAGAUAGGAAGCAGUAUGUCAAAGAAAUAUGGUGAUGCAGAUUUUGAUGUCAUUAGCUGCCUUCUCAGAAUUCAU